UACGUAGGGUGCGAGCGUUGUCCGGAAUUACUGGGCGUAAAGAGCUCGUAGGUGGUUUGUCGCGUUGUUCGUGAAAACUCACAACUCAAUUGUGGGCGUGCGGGCGAUACGGGCAGACUGGAGUACUGCGGGGGAGACUGGAAUUCCUGGUGUAGCGGUGGAAUGCGCAGAUAUCAGGAGGAACACCGGUGGCGAAGGCGGGUCUCUGGGCAGUAACUGACGCUGAGGAGCGAAAGCGUGGGGAGCGAACAGG
rnacentral:rRNA from 1 species